CAGACCCCGCCUCCUCCCCACAGUCAACACUUCAGUGGCGGCUCAAACUUCGGAACUCCCGCAAAGCUACGGAAAAUACAAGUCUGUGCAGAAUACAGACCUCUGGGAAUUUAAAAAAGAAGAAGAAGAACUCGAUUAUUAAUCAUCAGACCACACUUAGGAAGGUAGGACUUUGGGAAGGGGGUAUAGAAGAACAUAUAGUUUUACACAAACAUCCAGCAUUCCUUGAUUGAUUGAGGGAUGUGAUCAUCUAAGAAAAUGUAUUUCCAAAGAGAAUGAAAGGGAUUCUGCUAUCCCUUCGCUCCCAGCUCCUACAAAGGGGAAAUGCAGCCAUUCUCACACCUGCUGUUGCCUCUCCUUCCUGUCUUCCACCAGCAGCCGAAGUGGGGGGUGAGACCAAGGAACCUCUCCUGCCUCCCCACAGGCAGCCCCUGGGGUCAUUCCUCCCUAGUUUUGAAAGAUCAUCCUAUCAAGGAGAACCAUCAUCUGAGAGCUAUGUUAACAGCAUCUGGCUGCAGGCUCUAGCCUGGAGCCUCAUAAAACCAUUAAUUAUGACAAGCAAAAUAUCCAGAGCAGCAAGUUGGAAUGCACUGGGUGCAGCAUUUCACCCAAGGCCAGCAUAAUUCCAUGGUCCUGGGGGCACAAAAAGUCCCUAUAACUUUCCAUCACAGAGACUGAGGUCAGGCACCCCCUCCCCCAAGGGUUAUUCCGAGGAAGGCUGAGCAACAAGUAGAGAACUGGGUCCAUCUCACUUGACUUUACUGAGCACUAAGCAAACAUAUUAAAACUAAUACCUUGCAACAGAAAAUAAACUUUGAUUAAAAAAAUUAUAAAAGUGGAAUCCGCAUCACAUGUGUACUGCGAUCCACAGAGAUUUUAAGAAAAACGCUCUGCAUGUUUACAAGCGCUGUACGUUUACAAGGACUGAGACAUGUGUAGAAGAAAAGCACAGAGCUGCUGCAAAGCAUGCCUCAGGUGGCCUGCUCGCACCACCAGGAAAACCACAAGACUGAAUGGGCACUGGGGACUGAAGGGCAAAGCUACAAAACAGUCCAGUACCUCUGUCCUUGUACACAUCUGAGAGCAAGCUCGUGGGAGGGGCUGAAGGAAUAUUCACUGCCAAGUAGCCAAGACGGAUAACUGGUGUAUUCAGGGAUUAGACUCAUGACUCUCCUUCAAACGCAACAAUUUUUACAGUCAUAGACACUGCCAGCUCCUGCCAGUCAUCAAAGUCCCCAAGAAAAAAGGUUAUUUAGAGAAGGGGAAUCCAAUUGGAUAAUGACUACUUCAGCUGUCCACGUCUUCAGAUAACAAACUCACCUUAAUAAAAAGAAAUUUAGAAAACAAAAGCCCGAAAGGACACUUCAGACAUUCAGAAGUUUUGGUUGAAACACUCAUUCCCCUGGGUCAAAUAUGGAUAGUGGGGUCAAGAGAACUUUUGUUUCUAUAAUACACUCCUCCGAGAUACGCCUUCAAAGAGAACUUCAAAGAAGGAUGAAGUACUUCUACAAAAUACACGCUGGACCCUCUCCACGGAUGGCAGCCUGGAGGGGGUUGACUGAAGCACAAAUGGAGACAGAGACAGAUGUCCCUCUCAACCUCCCCACCCCUACCCCGAGCCCGGCCACUCGGUCGUCCCCCUCAGACAUGGGGAGAACGGGGACAGUGUGACCUCAAAACGCACCCAGGUGGGGAAUGUCCUUGGUUUCCCAACCCCUAGGCUCAAACCCCUGCACACUGGAGAUACCGGAGACUUUCU